CGGACCUCAGAUCAGGCAAGACCACCCGCUGAGUUUAAGCAUAUCACUAAGCGGAGGAAAAGAAACUAUCAAGGAUUUCCUUAGUAACG
rnacentral:rRNA from 1 species